GACGAACGCUGGCGGCGUGCUUAACACAUGCAAGUCGAACGGAAAGGCUCCAGCUUGCUGGAGUACUCGAGUGGCGAACGGGUGAGUAACACGUGGGUAAUCUGCCCUGCACUCUGGGAUAAGCCUGGGAAGCUGGGUCUAAUACUGGAUAUGACCUUUCUCCUUAUGGGGUUUGGUGGAAAGUUUUUCGGUGUAGGAUGAGCCCGCGGCCUAUCAGCUUGUUGGUGGGGUGAUGGCCUACCAAGGCGACGACGGGUAGCCGGCCUGAGAGGGUGAUCGGCCACAUUGGGACUGAGAUACGGCCCAGACUCCUACGGGAGGCAGCAGUGGGGAAUAUUGCACAAUGGGCGGAAGCCUGAUGCAGCGACGCCGCGUGAGGGAUGACGGCCUUCGGGUUGUAAACCUCUUUCAGCAGGGACGAAGCGUAAGUGACGGUACCUGCAGAAGAAGCACCGGCUAACUAUGUG
rnacentral:rRNA from 1 species